GCAGGUGUAGUUCAAUGGUAGAACUUCAGCCUUCCAAGCUGACUAUGAGGGUUCGAUUCCCUUCACCUGCUCCA
rnacentral:tRNA from 1 species